rnacentral:rRNA from 1 species
UACGUAGGGGGCGAGCGUUGUCCGGAUUUAUUGGGCGUAAAGAGCUCGUAGGCGGUUCCGUAAGUCGGGUGUGAAAAAUCUGGGCUCAACCCAGUGGAGCACCCGAUACUGCGGUGACUCGAGUCCGGUAGGGGAGUGUGGAAUUUCUGGUGUAGCGGUGAAAUGCGCAGAUAUCAGAAGGAACACCGACGGCGAAGGCAGCACUCUGGGCCGGUACUGACGCUGAGGAGCGAAAGCGUGGGGAGCAAACAGGAUUAGAUACCCUGGUAGUCCACGCCGUAAACGUUGGGCACUAGGUGUGGGGAGGAGUCAACCCUCUCCGUGCCGUAGCUAACGCAUUAAGUGCCCCGCCUGGGGAGUACGGCCGCAAGGCUAAA